UUUAAAAAUUGGUAUCACAUUAGCUAUCCUCCAGUCAUUUGGUACAGAAGUUGAUUUACAGACUACAGUUAAAUGUGAAAUGACAGGACUACUAAGUUCCUUCAGAACUCUUGGGAAGAGCAUGGGGAUUUUGAUGUCGUCUGUAUUCUUUCCGUCACCAGCCAUCUGGAAUAGAGGAGCAGUGUCGCUGCUGCUUCCCUCAUUGUCAUCUAGCCAAUAGAAAGUCAGAGUCCAUUCCAAACUGUGCUGGCCCGGCUGUCAAUACUACUCUGCCAAAGAAUGGGUGGGAAACAAUUUGAACAGCACGUGGGGGUAGC